CCUACGGGUGGCUGCAGUGGGGAAUAUUGGACAAUGGGGGGAACCCUGAUCCAGCCAUGCCGCGUGUGUGAAGAAGGCCCUCGGGUUGUAAAGCACUUUCAGUGAGGAAGAACGCCUGGUGGUUAAUACCCAUCAGGAAAGACAUCACUCACAGAAGAAGCACCGGCUAACUCCGUGCCAGCAGCCGCGGUAAUACGGAGGGUGCGAGCGUUAAUCGGAAUUACUGGGCGUAAAGCGCGCGUAGGUGGCUUGAUAAGCCGGUUGUGAAAGCCCCGGGCUCAACCUGGGAACGGCAUCCGGAACUGUCAAGCUAGAGUGCAGGAGAGGAAGGUAGAAUUCCCGGUGUAGCGGUGAAAUGCGUAGAGAUCGGGAGGAAUACCAGUGGCGAAGGCGGCCUUCUGGACUGACACUGACACUGAGGUGCGAAAGCGUGGGUAGCAAACAGGAUUAGAUACCCCGGUUC
rnacentral:rRNA from 1 species